rnacentral:rRNA from 1 species
UACGUAGGGGGCAAGCGUUGUCCGGAAUCAUUGGGCGUAAAGAGCGCGUAGGCGGUCCGGUAAGUCCGCUCUGAAAGUCCGGGGCUCAACCCCGGGAGGCGGGCGGAUACUGUCGGGCUAGAGUCCGGAAGAGGCGAGUGGAAUUCCUGGUGUAGCGGUGAAAUGCGCAGAUAUCAGGAGGAACACCAAUGGCGAAGGCAGCUCGCUGGGACGGUACUGACGCUGAGGCGCGAAAGCGCGGGGAGCAAACAGG